rnacentral:rRNA from 1 species
AACGAACGCUGGCGGCAUGCCUAACACAUGCAAGUCGAACGAGACCUUCGGGUCUAGUGGCGCACGGGUGCGUAACGCGUGGGAACCUGCCCUUAGGUUCGGAAUAACUCAGAGAAAUUUGAGCUAAUACCGGAUAAUGUCUUCGGACCAAAGAUUUAUCGCCUUUGGAUGGGCCCGCGUAGGAUUAGCUUGUUGGUGGGGUAAUGGCCUACCAAGGCGACGAUCCUUAGCUGGUCUGAGAGGAUGAUCAGCCACACUGGGACUGAGACACGGCCCAGACCCCUACGGGAGGCAGCAGGGGGGAAUAUGGGAAAAGGGGCGAAAGCCUGAACCAGCAAUGCCGGGGGAGUGAUGAAGGCCUUAGGGUUUUAAAGCUCUUUUCCCAGGGAUGAUAAUGCAAGUACCGGGAGAAUAAGCCCCGGCUAACUCCGU